UGGGUAUAUGCUCCAAACAGGGGCUCUGAAGAAUGUGAAGAAUGGCUCCUCUGUGUGUAAGACACCCAGUAGGAAUCUGUGGUCAUUGUGAGAAGGAAAACAAAAUGUGUGGCCAUUCUAUGAACAGAUGCCCUACAUGU
rnacentral:snoRNA from 1 species